UCAUACUGCACACACAUCAACAAUCACCAUGACAACAGAACCCCAUUCAUACUGCACACACAUCAACAAUCGCCAUGACAACAUUACAAUAUUCAUACUGCACACACAUCAACAAUCACCAUGACAACAGAACCCUAUUCAUACUGCACACACAUCAACAAUCACCAUGACAACAGAACCCUAUUCAUACUGCACACACAUCAACAAUCGCCAUGACAACAGAACCCUAUUCACACUGCACAAACAUCAACAAUCACCAUGACAACAGAACCCCAUUCAUACUGCACACACAUCAACAAUCCCCAUGACAACAGAACCCUAUUCAUACUGCACACACAUCAACAAUCACCAUGACAACAGAACCCCAUUCAUACUGCACACACAUCAACAAACAGAACCCCAUUCAUACUGCACACACAUCAACAAUCACCAUGACAACAGAACCCCAUUCAUACUGCACAAAUAUCCUUAUAGCACAGCCAGAAGAGGACUGGCCACCCCUCAUAGUCUGAUUCCUCUAAGUUUCUAAUCUCUACCAGGCACAGCCAGAAGAGGACUGGCCACCCCUCAUAGCCUGGUUCCUCUAAGUUUCUAAUCUAUACCAGGCACAGCCAGAAGAGGACUGGCCACCCCUCAUAGCCUGGUUCCUCUAAGUUUCUAAUCUCCACCAGGCACAGCCAGAAGAGGACUGGCCACCCCUCAUAGCCUGGUUCCUCUAAGUUUCUAAUCUCCACCAGGCACAGCCAGAAGAGGACUGGCCACCCAUCAUAGCCUGGUUCCUCUCUUCCCGGCACAGCCAGAAGAGGACUGGCCACCCCUCAUAGCCUGGUUCCUCUCUAGGUUUCUAAUCUCCACCCGGCACAGCCAGAAGAGGACUGGCCACCCCUCAUAGCCUGGUUCCUCUCUAGGUUUCUAAUCUCCACCAGGCACAGCCAGAAGAGGACUGGCCACCCCUCAUAGCCUGGUUCCUCUCUAGGUUUCUAAUCUCCACCCGGCACAGCCAGAAGAGGACUGGCCACCCCUCAUAGCCUGGUUCCUCUCUAGGUUUCUAAUCUCCACCCGGCACAGCCAGAAGAGGACUGGCCCACCCCUCAUAGCCUGGUUCCUCUCUAGGUUUCUAAUCUCCACCAGGCACAGCCAGAAGAGGACUGGCCACCCCUCAUAGCCUGGUUCCUCUCUAGGUUUCUAAUCUCCACCAGGCACAGCCAGAAGAGGACUGGCCCACCCCUCAUAGCCUGGUUCCUCUCUAGGUUUCUAAUCUCCACCCGGCACAGCCAGAAGAGGACUGGCCACCCCUCAUAGCCUGGUUCCUCUCUAGGUUUCUAAUCUCCACCCGGCACAGCCAGAAGAGGACUGGCCACCCCUCAUAGCCUGGUUCCUCUCUAGGUUUCUAAUCUCCACCCGGCACAGCCAGAAGAGGACUGGCCCACCCCUCAUAGCCUGGUUCCUCUCUAGGUUUCUAAUCUCCACCCGGCACAGCCAGAAGAGGACUGGCCACCCCUCAUAGCCUGGUUCCUCUCUAGGUUUCUAAUCUCCACCAGGCACAGCCAGAAGAGGACUGGCCACCCCUCAUAGCCUGGUUCCUCUCUAGGUUUCUAAUCUCCACCAGGCACAGCCAGAAGAGGACUGGCCACCCCUCAUAGCCUGG